AUUCACCAGGAAAUCCAGCAGCUCGAAAGGGUAUUCCUCCUUGGAUUAGAAACAGCUUGCAACGAGGUCUGCAACCGGUAUCGGAAAUGCAUUUUGAGAGAAAUUGGACCUAUUUACAAACCGGACGUGGUGAUCAUUUCAAAGUACCACAGCUACAUCACCUUAGUAUACCUCAACCAGCAUCUAAUUACCCUAAAAGAAGCCCUUUCGGUGCUGCUGCUCCUAAUUCACACAGUGCAACACGGAUGCAUAAGAAGCUGAUCCAAAUCGGCUCGACCCGGUCAACGAUGUUUUUUGAGGUGACUAACUGGUACAAAUCCGUACGAAGCAAGGAAUUGGAGGAUUAUCCGUAGUGAUGGUCACGUCGAGCUGGUAUUUUAUGAAAAGAUUGAAAAGAGGAUGUUUACGAACCACCGGACCGGAAGCUCGAGAAGGAAACCCGCUUAAACUAUUUCAAUUUAUUCGUAUCCAUGUUUUACAUGCUUUUGCUGGCACCUACUAGGGGUAAGAUGAGUGAA